UGUUGAUGAUGCUUGUAUCUAUGACUCCUUGUCUCUUCCUUCGGUUUUCUAUAUCCAGGGUUGUCUCCCUUUGUGCUUUCUUUAUUGCCUCUAUUUCCAUUUUUAAUUCCUUCACCUGCUUGAUUGUGUUUUCCUGGAAUUCUUUCAGGGAUUUUUUGUGAUUCCUCUCUAUAGGCUUCUACUUGUUUAUGUUUUCCUGCAUUUCUCUAAGGGAAUUCUUUAUAUCUUUCUUGAAGUCCUCCAUCAUCAUGAUCAAAUGUGAUUUUAAAUCUAGAACUUGCUUUUCUGGUGUGUUUGGAUAUUCAGUGUUUUCUUUGAUGGGAGAAUUGGGCUCCGAUGAUGCCAUGUAGUCUUGGUUUCUGUUCUUUGGGUUCCUGCGCUUGCCUCUCACCAUCAGGUUGUCUCUAGUGUUACCUUGUUCUGCUAUUUCUGACAGUGGCUCAACCGUUCUAUAGGCCUGUGUGUCAGGAGUGCUGUAGACCUGUUUUCCUGUUUUCUUUCUGCCAGUUAUGGGAACAGAGUGUUCUGCUUUUGGGCGUGUAGCCUUUCCUGUCUACUGGUCUUCAGUUGUUCCUGUGGGCCUGUGUCCUGAGUCCACCAGGUAGGUCUCUUGGAGCAGAAAAGUUGGUCUUACCUGUGGUCCUGCGGCUGAAGUUGCUCCUGGGGAGCUGCUUUUGAGCUCUCUGUGAGGGCGGCAACCAGGAGGGCCUGCACUGCCUUUUCCCGGGGUCCCCGUGCACGGGGUCCCAGAUGGUGUUAGGUGUUUUCCUCUGGAGUCAGAAAUGUGGGCAGUGUGUUGUCUCUUCUGGCUUCCCAGGCAUGUCUUCCCCUCUGAAGGUUUAGCUUUCCCUCCCACAGGAUUUGGGUGCAGGGAGCUUUUGACUGGGUCCCUUCAGGUCCGGGCAGUGUCUGGACCACAGGGAACCUGCUGCUUGAGUGCCCCGCCCCCCGCAUUUAACUUUCAAACUUCAAAGCAUGCAAAAUUUAAUCCCACUGUGCCAUAUGCUAUUUAACUUUUUCUGAGAUGAAGUCUCACUAUGUACCCCAUGUAGGGAGGUGGAUCUGAUGCUUUGAUCGGGAAUCUGUGUUUACUGACGCUGAAGGUGCCCACUCCAAAUUGGUUUUCGACUGACCAAAAAACUUGCCAGUAGCCAAUGGCUGAGCAGAGGGAGGGACACUAAGAGCUGCUCAGGUAGGAUGCAGGGAGAAUUGGAAGGACUGGAGAAGAGAAGAUAAAGCCAAUUGACCAUGUGAGUUUCUCGGUAAUUGGCUUAUGGCCAUUUCCCUGACUGGGCCUGGGGUAGCAGGGGAAGGUUUAGAGGUGCCCGGUCAUUGAGUUAGCCAAGGAAUCUCAAGAUUAACUGGUGUGUGUGUGUGUGUGUGUGUGUGUGUGUGUGUGUGUGUGUGUGUGUGUGUGUGCUCUAUUCAGAGAAAGGAGAUUGAUUGCUCCUGGACAGGUGUGCAUGUGUGCCUCACAAGGAACUUAAAGCAGUGUAGACAAAACUACAUGAUAGAACCCCAAGAUGUUUAGUAACUCAGUAUGUAACCCAGGAUGGCCACAAACUUGUCAUUCCUUCUUCCAAUUCUCAAGUUGUUGGAUUACAAGUGUGUACUACCAAUGCUCCCGAAGACACCACAGCCUGAGGCAUCCCAGAAGAUGUACCACAUUUUCUGUAUUCAUUCCUCUGUUGGAGUACAUCUGGGUUUUUCCAGCUUCUGGCUAUUAUAAAUAAUACUGCUGUGAAUGAAGUGGAGCAUGUGUCUUUGUUACAUGUUGGAGCACCUUUUGGAUAGAGGCCCAAGAGUGGCAUAGCUGGGUCCUCAGAUAGUGCAAUGUCCAAUUUUCUGAGGAACCUCCAGGUUGAUUUCCAGAGUGGUUAUACCAGUUUGGAAUCCCACCAAGACUUGAGGAGUGUUCCUCUUUCUCUACAUCCUCACUAGCAUCUGUUGGUCACUGAAUUUUGAAUCUUACCCAUUCUGACUGGUGUGAGGUGGAAUCUCAGGGUUGUUUUGAUUUGCAUUUCCCUGAUGACUAAGGAUGUUGAGCAUUCCUUUAGGUACUUCUCAGCCAUUCAAUGUUCCUCAGAUGAGAAUGUUUUGUUUAGCUCUGUAUCCCAUUUUUAAUAGGGUUAUUUGGCUCUCAGGAGUCUAACUUCUUGAGUUCAUUGUGCAUUUUAGAUAUUAGCCCUCUACUGAAUGUAUUGACAGUAAAGAUCUUUUCCCAAUCUGUUGGUUGCCAUUUUGUCCUAAUGACAGUGUCCUUUGCCCUACAGAAGCUUUGCAGUUUCAUGAGAAGCCAUUGGUCGAUUCUUGAUCUUAGAGCAUAAGUCAUUGGUGUUUUGUUCAGAAAAAUUUCCAGUGCCCAUGUAAUCAAGACUCUUCCCCAGUUUUUCUUCGAUUAGUUUGAGUGUAUCUGGUUUGAUGUGGAGGUCCUUGAUCCACUUGGACUUGAUUCACUGUGUACAGGGCAAUAAGAAUGGAUCAAUUUGCAUUCUUCUUAAUGCUGACCUCCAGUUGAACCAGCACCAUUUGUUGAAAAUGCUAUUUUUUUCCACUGGAUGGUUUUAGACCCUUUGUCAAAGAUCAAGUGACAAUAGGUUAGUGGGUUCAUUUCUGGGUCUUUAAUUCUAUUCCAUUGAUUUACCUGCCUAUCUCUGUACCAAUACCAUACAGUUUUUAUCACUAUUGCUGUGUAACAUAUCUUGAGGCCAGGGAUGGUGCUUCCCCCAGAAGUUCUUUUAUUGUUCAGUAUAGCUUUCCCUAAUCUGGGUUUUUUGUUAUCCCAAAUGAAUUUGCACAUUGCUCUUUCUAACUCUAUGAAGAAUUGAGUUGGAAUUUUGAUGGAGACUACAUUGAAUCUGUAGAUUGAAUUCAGACAAGAUCUGAAGUUCUUGUCAUACAGAUUUUUCACUUACUUCGUUAAAGUCACAUUGAGGUAUUUUAUGUUAUUUGGGACUAUUGUGAAGGGUGUCAUUUCCAUAAUUUCUUUCUCAGCCUGUUUAUCCUUUCAGUAAAGGAAGGCUACUGAUUUGUUUGAGUUAAUUUUAUACCCAGCCAUUUUGCUGAAGUUCUUUAUCAGGCUUGGUAGUUCUCUGAAGGAACUUUUGGGGCACUUAAGUAUACUAUCAUAUAAUCUGCAAAUAGUGAUAUUUUGACUACUUCCUUUCCAAUUUGUAUCCUUUUGACCUCCUUUUAUUGUCUGAUUUCUCUGGUUAGGACUUCAAGUACUAUAUUGAAUAAGUAGGGAGAGAGUGGGCAGCCUUGUCUAGUCCCUAAUUUUAGUGAGAUUGCUUCAAGUUUCUCUCCAUUUAGUUUAAUGUUAGCUACUGGUUUGCUGUAUAUGGCUGUUCCUAUGUUUAGGUGUGGGCCUUGAAUUCCUGAUCUUUCCAGGACUUUUAUCAUGAAGGGGUGUUGAAUUUUGUCAAAUGCUUUCUCAGCACCUAAUGAAAUGAUCAUGUGGCUUAUAUAGUCAAUUAUGUUGAUGGAUUCCUGUAUAUUGAACCAUCCCUGCAUCCCUGGGAUGAAACCUACUUGAACAUGAUGGAUGAUCAUUUUGAUGUGUUCUUGGAUUCGGUUUGAGAGAAUUUUAUUGAGUAUUUUUGCAUCGAUAUUCAUAAGGUAUAUUGGUCUGAAGUUUUUUCUUUGUUGGGUCUUUGCGUGGUUUAGGUAUAAGCAUAAUACACCUAUGGCUUCAUAGAAGGAAUUGGAUAGUGCUCCUUCUGUUUCUAUUUUGUGGAAUAGUUUAGACAGUAUUGGUAUGAGGUCUUCUAUGAAGAUCUGAUAGAAUUCUGCACUAAACACAUCUGAUCCUAGGCUGUUUUGGGGUGGGAAACUUUUAAUAACUGCUUCUAUUUCUUUAGGAGUUCUGGGGUUGUUUAGAUGGUUUAUCUGUUCCUGAUUUAACUUUGGUACCUUGUAUUUCUCCUGAAAAUUGUUCAUUUCCUCCAGAUAUUCCAGUUUUGUUGAAUACAGGCUUUUAUAGUAAGAUCUGAUGAUUUUUUGAAUUUCCUCUGAAUCUGUAGUUAUGUCUCCCUUUUCAUUUCUGAUUUUGUUAAUUUGAAUACAAUUUCUAUGCCCUCUCUUUAGUGUGGCUAAGGGUUUAUCUAUCUUGCUGAUUUUCUCAAAGAACCAACUCCUGGUUUUGUUGAUUCUUUUUAUAAUUCUUUUUGUUUCAAUUUGUUUGAUUUCAGCCCUGAGUUUGAUUAUUUCCUGCCUUCUACUCCUCUUGGGUAUAUUUGCUUCUUUUUGUUCUAGAGCUUUUAGGUGUGCUGUCAAGCUACUAAUGUAUGCUCUCUCCUCUUUCUUUUUGCCAGCAAAGUUAUGAGUUUUCCUCUUAGCCCUGCUUUAAUUGUUCCAUAAGAUUGGGUAUGUUGUGCCUUCAUUUUCAUUAAAUUCUAAGAAUUAUUUAAUUUCUUUAUUUCUUCCUUGACUAAGUUAUCACUGAGUAGAGCAUUAUUCAACUUCCAUGUACAUGUGGGGUUUCUGUCAUUUUUGUUGUUAUUGAAAACCAGCCUUAGUCCAUAGUGAUCUGAUAGGACGCAUGGGAUUAUUUCUAUCUUCCUGUAUCUGUUGAGGCAUGUUUUGUGACCGAUUAUAUGGUCAAUUUGGAGAAGGUACCAUGAGGUACUGAGAAGAACAUGUAUCCUUUUGUUUUAGAAUGAAAUGUUCUAUAAAUAUGUGUUAAGUCCAUUUCGUUAAUAACUUUUGUAAGUAUCUCUAUGUCUCUGUUCAAUUUCUGUUUCCAUGAUCUGUCUACUGGUAAGAGUGGGGUGUUGAAAUCUCUUACUAUUAUUGUGUGAGGUGCAAUGUAUGAUUUGAGCUUUAGUAAGGUUUCUUUUAUGAAUGUAGGUGCCUUUGUAUUUGGAGCAUAGAUAUUUAGGAUUGAGAGUUCAUCAUGGUGAAUUUUUCCUUUGAUGAAUAGGAAGUGUCCUUCUUUAUCUUUUUUGAUGACUUUUGGUUGAAAGUCAAUUUUACUCGAUAUUAGAAUGGCUACUCCAGUUUGUUUCUUUGGACCAUUUGCUUGGAAAGUUGUUUUCCAGCCUUUUACUCUGAGGUAGUGUCUGUCUUUGUCACUGAGGUGUGUUUUCUGUAUGCAGCAAAAUGCAAUAUCCAGUCUGUUGGUCUAUGUCUUUUUAUUGGGGAAUUGAGUCCAUUGAUGUUAAGAGAUAUUAAGGAAUAGUGAUUGGUGCUUCCUGUUAUUUUCAUUGUUAGAGGUGGAAUUAUGUUUCUGUGUCUCUCUUCUUUUGGUUUUGUUGCAAGGAGAUUACUUUCUUGCUUUUUCUAGGGUGUAGUUUCCCUCCUUGUGUUGGAGCUUUCAAUCUAUUAUCCUUUGUAGCGCUGGAUUUGUAGAAAGAUAUUGUGUAUAUUUGGUUUUGUCAUGGAAUAUCUUGUUUCUUCAUCUAUGUUGAGAGUUUUGCUGGACACAGUAGCCUAGGCUGGCAUUUGUGUUCUUUUUAGGGUCUGUAUGACAUCUGUCCAGGAUCUUCUGGCUUUCAGAGUCUCUGGUGAGAAGUCUGGUGUGAUUCUGAUAGGUCUGCCUUUAUAUAUUACUUGUCCUUUUUCCCUUACUGCAUUUAAUAUUCUUUCUUUAUUUGGUGCAUUUGGUGUUUUGACUAUUAUGUGACGGGAGGAGUUUCUUUUCUGGUCCAAUCUAUUUGGAGUUCUGUAUGAUUCUUUUAUAUUUAUGGGCAUCUCUUUCUUUAGGUUAGGGAAGUUUUCUUCUAUAAUUUUGUUGGCCCUUUAAGUUGGGAGUCUUCACUCUCUUAUCACUAAGUUUGAUCUUCUCAAUGUGUUCUGUAUUUCCUGGAUGUUUUUGGACUAGGAGCUUUUUGCAUUUUAUAUUUUCUUUGACAGUUGUGUUGACGUUUUCUAUGGUAUCUUCUGUCCCUAAGAUUCUCUCUUCUAUCUCUUGUAUUCUGUUAGUGAGGCUUGCAUCUAUGACUCCUGAUCUCUUUCCUAGGUUUUCUAUCUCCAGUAUUGUCUCCCUUUGUGCUUUCUUUAUUGUUUCUAUUUCCAUUUUUAAAUCCUGGAUGGCUUUAUUCAAUUCCUUCACCUGUUUGCUUGUGUUUUCCUAUAAUUCUUUAAGGAAUUUUUGUGUUUCCUCUUUAAGGGCUGUAUUUCUUUUUUUGUCCCGUAUUUCUUUAAGGGAGUUAUUCAUAUCCUUCUUAAAGUCCUCCAGCAUCAUCAUAAAAUGUGAUUUUAUAUCUAAAUCUUGCUUUUCCAGUGUGUUUAGAUAUCCAGUAUUUGCUUUGUUGGGAGAGCUGUGCUCUGAUGAUACCAAGUAGUCUUGGUUUCUGUUGCUUAGGUUCCUGUGCUUGCCUCUCACCAUCAGGUUGUCUCUGGUGUCAGCUUGUCUUGCUGUCUCUGACAGUGGCUUGACCCUCCUGUAGACCUGUAUGUCAGCACUCCUGUAGACCUGUUUUCUUUCAGCCAGAUCUGGGAACAGAGAGCUCAGCUCUCAGGCAUUUAGGCACUCCUGGCAGCUGACUUUCAGCUUUCGGUGAGGGCAGCAACUGGAAGAGUCCUGACCCUGACUGCUUCUAUGUCCCUGUGCCCAGUGCCACAGAUGGCACUAGGUGAUUUCCUCUUGGAUCAGGAAUGUGGGCAGAGAGUAGUCUCCUCUGAGUUCUCAGGUGUGUCUGCACUGCUGAGGUUCCAGCUCUCUCCCCCAUGGGAUUUGGGUGCAGGGAGAUGUGACCAGUUAAGUUCAGUUCCAGGCACCGGCCUAUUUACUGGCCCUUUAAGUUGGGAAUCUUUGCUCUCUUCUAUACCUAUUAUCCUUAGGUUUGAUCUUCUCAUUGUGUCCUGGACUUUCUGGAUAUUUUGGGUUAGGAGCUUUUUGCCUUUUGCAUUUUUUUUUUUUUUACUGUUAUGUCAAUGUUUUCUAUGGUAUCUGCUGCCCCUGAGAUUCUCUCUUCCAACUCUUUAUUCUGUUGGUGAUGCUUGCCACUAUGCUUUGGGAUCUCUUUCCUAGGUUUUCUAUCUCCAGGAUUGUCUCCCUUUGUGAUCUCUUUAUUGUUUCCCUUUCCAUUUUUAGAUCCUGGAUGGUUUCAUUCAAUUCCUUCACCUGUUUAGUUGUGUUUUCCUAUAAUUUUUUAAAGGGAUUUUUGUGUUUUCUUUUUAAGGGCUUCUACCUGUUUACCUGUGUUGUCCUGUAUUUCUUUAAGCGAGUUAUGUCCUUCUUAAAGAUCAUCAUGAGUUGUGAUUUUAAGUUACAAUCUUGCUUCUCCAGUGUGUUGGGGUUUCCUGGGCUUGCUGUGGUGGGGGAACUGGGUUCUGAUGAUGCCAAGUGGCCUUUGUUUCUGUUGCUUAGAUUCUUGCCCUUGCCUCUUGCCUUGUGUUUACCUCUGGUGUUAGCUGAUCUUUUUGUCUCUGACAGUGCCUUGACCCUCCUGUGAGCCUGUGUGUCAGCACUCCUGAAGAGUGGCUCUCUCCCAGCAGCAUCUGGGUAUAGGGAGCUGUGUCACAGGGUCAGCUCUGGGAGCAGUCAGAAACCAGAAGGAUCCUGUCCCAGUCUGCUCCUCGGUUCCUGUGUCCAGAGGGCUUCAGGCAGAUUCUUCUUGGACCAGGAAUGUGAGAAGUGGUAGUCUCACCUGUGCUCUCAGGAUUGUCCGCACUUCUGAAAGUCCAUCUCUCUCCCCCAUGGGAUCUGUGUACAAAAAGCUAUGGCACCAGUCAGCUCCGGGUGAAAACUGAAAGAAUCCUGUCCCAGAUUGCUCCUCAGUUCCUGUGUCCUGAGGGCUCCUGGCAGGUCCCUUGGAGCAGAAGUGGUGGCCUUCCCUCUGCUCUCAGGCGUGUCAGCACUCCUGGAUAUUGGCUUUCAGCUCUGGGUGCAAGCUGUUGCCUUUUCUGUUGCUGGUGUCCUAAAUGAUGAGGCACAGAUGAAAAUAAAUGGAGAAACUAUCUCCUUCUCUAGAAUGGCCCUUAUUGAGCAGAAAACAACACAGCAGGUGUUGGUGAAAAUUUGCAGAAAAGAACUCUGACAUGCUACCAAUGGAAGUAAAAUUAGUAAGGCUAGGUGGACCAGAGAGUCAUCAUACACAGCGACAGACCAGCAUCUAGGACAGCUACCCACUGUACUUACGAGGCACCACUGCGUAAGCACCUUCAACUCAUUAGGAUUUCCUGUGAUUCCUCAUACAACUGAGUUUACAUCUAGAUCUUCCUUUUUGCCUGGUUUAAGGGGCCUCUUUCUAAAUCAAGAGUUCUCCUCUUCCCUCUUUUCCUACCUAGUUCUGAAUUAACUAUUCUUUAUGAUUCUUGUUUUAUAAAACCAAUAGAUGAUAGUGGCAUCUGUUUUUAAUACAGUGGGAAUAUAUAACCUUAGCAAUACUAAUGAAAAUAAACACAUGUAAAUACAAUUGUAAAA